rnacentral:rRNA from 1 species
GACGAACGCUGGCGGCGUGCCUAAUACAUGCAAGUCGAACGCUGAAGGAGGAGCUUGCUCUUCUGGAUGAGUUGCGAACGGGUGAGUAACGCGUAGGUAACCUGCCUGGUAGCGGGGGAUAACUAUUGGAAACGAUAGCUAAUACCGCAUGACAACAGUUAUUGCAUGAUAACUGUUUAAAAGGGGCAACUGCUCCACUACCAGAUGGACCUGCGUUGUAUUAGCUAGUUGGUGAGGUAACGGCUCACCAAGGCGACGAUACAUAGCCGACCUGAGAGGGUGAUCGGCCACACUGGGACUGAGACACGGCCCAGACUCCUACGGGAGGCAGCAGUAGGGAAUCUUCGGCAAUGGACGGAAGUCUGACCGAGCAACGCCGCGUGAGUGAAGAAGGUUUUCGGAUCGGAAAGCUCUGUUGUAAGAGAAGAACGAGUGUGAGAGUGGAAAGUUCACACUGUGACGGUAACUUAACAGAAAGGGACGGCUAACUACGUG